AUGAGGCUGCUCUUGUCCCCCAGUGGGGCUUCUGCCCCACAGCCCCUGUUCUCCUGGCAGGUCCCUGCAUGGGGAUGGUGGAAGGGGAGGCUGAGAGUUAGGGCUGACUCCCCUUUGCCUCCUUGGGGGUCUCCAUGGGGGCAGGUGAGGACCUGGCUGAGGGGUGAGUGCCACCACCAGACUGUUUGGCUGUGCUUCACAGGGUCAAGUCCUUCCCCAAAUAAAUGGAAGAGCCAGCUGGGCUCCCUCCUGGAGCCAGUGCUUUACCCGUGGCUUCCCUUGAUGAGGGCAUUAAUGUUUGAUACCGUGGCCUGGUGGUACCAAACCGUACCCCCCACUCCCCCCACCCCUCGCAUCACCCCCUCACCCCAUGUUUCUGUGCUGGGACCCCUGGUUCCUCCGUCCCCAGUGUCACUGACUCGUUCCAUGGCGUUACCAUUACCCCAGCUGCCUGAGAAACUCUGCCUGGGUACCUGCGAGGCCAGGGUUGGGUUGUUUGGUUCUGUUCUGGUUUGUUUUUGUUUUUUUUUUACUUCAGGAAAGCUUUUUUGGGGAAUACUCUCCCUGCAUGUAGCAUGUGUGCACAGUCUGCUUGGAAAGUGUUGGUGCUCGGCUGGUGGCCGUAGCUGCCCCAGCGGGCCCAGGUGGGGAAAGGGGCAGGGGGAAGAGCUGGCUUUGUCCUACACCGUACCUCUCUGCCUGUCCCCAGGCUUGCCCGGGUCAUCGCUCUCUGGACAAGGACCUUCCUUCAGCAGCUCUCUCCCCUGCCCUGGGUUACUGCUCCCUCGCCUCUGCCCCCCAGGCGGGGCUCGGGGGGGGUUUCAGGGAACAGGUUUGCAGGAGGGAUGGAGCUGGGGGAGCAGCGGGUGCCCCCCAGGUCCCCGAAACAGCCGCGUUACCCUCCCUGGCCCAGCCCACCUUGUGCAUGGCCCCAGCGGGCAGGGCCCAGGGCCGUUCCUCCCGGGGACACCCCGGCUGUUCCCCACCUCCCUGGGCCGGGGGCGAUGGAGGAGGGCGGCUGCUCCCUCAGAGCCCUGA
rnacentral:lncRNA from 1 species